rnacentral:piRNA from 1 species
CUAGGUGUUUAUGACGUUUACUUGU